ACUGCCUGUGCCCUCAGAGAGCUCCUAAUUUGUUUCAGAUCUCUGCUGCAGGCAGAAAGUGAGGACAAAUCCAGAACGAGGGCCCACACACAAUGUCUACACUGGAUACCUCAGCAGCAAAGCAGUGAGAAGGCUGGGGAGGAGGAAGGGGAGCAGCAAAGCAACUGAGAACUCGCAAGAGGGAGGUCCAGCCACUCCAUCCAGGCAGGGUUGCCAGACAAAGAUCUUCCCUCCUCAGACCCAGAAGGCCAGCUGACCAGAGAGGCCUGAGGCCCAUGCAGGACUAACAGACAGCAGGAGAAACUGAGGAAGAGCUUCAUGUCCAGGUACCUGGUAUUGACCCAGGGUGAGGGUGAGACAGAGAUGAGGGGCUCUGGGACCCCCCAUCCCCUAGAAGGUAGUCCUCAGAUCAUGGAUACCUCCUUCCCACCUUCAGAGAGGGAGAGAGGAUGGUCUGGGAUGCAAGAGAUAGCCUUUGGAGUGGACAUGUAAUGGUGGGCGAGGGAAGAAAUGGCUUCCUUUGCCCCCUCCCAGCAGCCACCCAUUCAAGAUAAGCAAGACUCCAGGGACACUUCCUGUGAAGCAAACGCCAACGGCCGGCACACC
rnacentral:lncRNA from 1 species